rnacentral:rRNA from 1 species
AGCGAACGCUGGCGGCAGGCCUAACACAUGCAAGUCGAACGAACUCUUCGGAGUUAGUUGCGGACGGGUGAGUAACACGUGGGAACGUUCCUUUUGGUUCGGACUAACUCAGGGAAACUUGUGCUAAUACCGAAUGUGCCCUUGGGGGGAAAGAUUAAUCGCCAUUAGAGCGGCCCGCGUCUGAUUAGCUAGUUGGUGAGGUAACGGCCCACCAAGGCGACGAUCAGUAGCUGGUCUGAGAGGAUGACCAGCCACACUGGGACUGAGACACGGCCCAGACUCCUACGGGAGGCAGCAGUGGGGAAUCUUGCGCAAUGGGCGAAAGCCUGACGCAGCCAUGCCGCGUGAAUGAUGAAGGUCUUAGGAUUGUAAAAUUCUUUCACCGGGGACGAUAAUGACGGUACCCGGAGAAGAAGCCCCGGCUAACUUCGUG